rnacentral:rRNA from 1 species
CCUACGGGAGGCAGCAGUGAGGAAUAUUGGUCAAUGGACGCAAGUCUGAACCAGCCAUGCCGCGUGCAGGAUGACGGCUCUAUGAGUUGUAAACUGCUUUUGUACGAGGGUAAACGCAGAUACGUGUAUCUGUCUGAAAGUAUCGUACGAAUAAGGAUCGGCUAACUCCGUGCCAGCAGCCGCGGUAAUACGGAGGAUUCAAGCGUUAUCCGGAUUUAUUGGGUUUAAAGGGUGCGUAGGCGGUUUGAUAAGUUAGAGGUGAAAUUUCGGGGCUCAACCCUGAACGUGCCUCUAAUACUGUUGAGCUAGAGAGUAGUUGCGGUAGGCGGAAUGUAUGGUGUAGCGGUGAAAUGCUUAGAGAUCAUACAGAACACCGAUUGCGAAGGCAGCUUACCAAACUAUAUCUGACGUUGAGGCACGAAAGCGUGGGGAGCAAACAGGAU